AUCGCGACUGUAUAUAUACAGGAUUUUUCCUGCGUUCAAAAUUGCGUGGCGGCCGCCUCCAGCUAAUUUUGUGCUGCCCCCAGCCAGAACGAUUGAUAUCGCUCAACACAGCGUAAAGCUCUGGCUUUGUUGAUUGAGCGAUUGAUAGCAGCUACGUACAGUAUUUUAACUGCAGUUGCAGCAUUGCGCUACUGUGGAGGCGCUAUAUCGACAUCAGUCCACCAGAAAGACCUGAAGCAACUACCAAAGAAGAAACAGAUCGAAUCGUGUUUUUUCCCGCUACUUUGUGCAUAAGUGACAAGUGGAUUUCUGCCAUACGGAGCAUGAUACAGAGGGAUCGCUGGACUGCUACAGAACACUCCAGACUGUGCUGUGAACAUUUUGUCUCUGCGUUGCAGAUAUGGCAGGCAAAAUCAGCCACUACUUUAAAAAGUGAUCUCGCGAGGAGGAAAGUCAAGAGUCCAGGUCUGAAAGUAGUUCACAAGGGACUGGUGAUAGCGA